rnacentral:tRNA from 1 species
CAAAACGUAGCUUAUAUAAAGCAUCUGGCUUACACCUAGAAGAUUCCACCACCAGGGACGCUUUGA